GUGCCAGAUCUGUUUUCCAGACUGUUCCCUGAAGUCCUGGGAAAGACAGAAAAUGUUGGGGCUUCUCUCCUUUCAAUUGCUUCAUUUUUAUUUUCAUUUGGGGGUUUUCUCCGGAAAUGUAUUUGAGAAAUAGAUUGCCACCUAAAGAAGUUUGUAACUAUCUUUACUAUUGACAUGUAUAAUUAAUAAUUUAAUACUACUUUCCUAGAAAGUAAUGGAAAUCGCUUGCUCUGGUAGUAACUAGGUUUCGUGGUGGAUGUGCGUGAACACACGAAGCUGCAGAAUGACUCUUUUGGACAUGAUCCUUCAAAAGAGAGAUUUUUUUGAAUACUACCAGACCCAGAUCAACGCCUACCCCUUCUUAUAACAAAUAUUUGAUAACAUCACCGCAACCAUCGACUGAAAAUCAUGGGUGGUAAAACCUGCCUUUGUACAUAAAGGCAUCAUCCACAUUUGCUAUUCCAAAAUGAAAUGGAUAGGUACUAUAACUGACUAUAUACAUGCCUAUCAAUGCAGGGUCUUCACUAAUAUAAACCAGAUACACAUGUGUAAGUAUUUUGUAAUGAAGUAAUUGUCUUAAUAUAUAAAUGCUCUAGCAUGAUUAUGCUCUGAGAUGUCCGAAAUAAUGAGAAAAAGCACAUAUCUGUGCUUGUAUGUGAAAUCACCACGCCCGGGGCAGUCUGCCUUUGGCAACUCAACCCCAGAAAUGAGAUCGAUGCCAGCAGUGCGAAUUUUCUAAAAUGUGGCCAAUUCUUUUUUUUUGAAUUGAAUGAGAGAUUCUUUCAAUUCUAUAGUACUUUACAACGUUCAAAAGUUGCGCACCCAUGAUUUCACAUGAUCCCAUAACAACCCCCUUCCCCCCUCCCCGUCCCUCUGUUGCCCCUCCCCCUUCCCUUCCCCUCUGAGAACCACUAGUUCUCUGUAUCUGCGAGUCUGCUUCUUUCUUGUUUUGUUCACUAGUUUUUGUAGUUUUUAGAUUCCACACAUAAGUGGUAUUGUACAGUAUUUGUCUUUCUCCUCCUGACUUUACCAGCAUCAUACCCUCCAAGGCCAUCCACGUUGCUGCAAAUGGCAUUACUUCAUUCUUUUUUACGGUAGAGUAGUAUUCCAUGGCGUAUAUAGGCCAUGUCUUCUUUAUCCAUUCAUACGCUGAUGGACACUUUGGUUGCUUCCAUACCUUGGUAAAUGCUUUCUUCCUGGGGGCCUGGCAUUCUUCUAAAUAACAAACAACUUUAUGAGGCAGGUGCCACUGCUAUUUCUUUGUUACAUGUGAAGGCACACAGGUGAUGAGACCAGAGCUGGGAUUAAUUUUUUUUUUUUUUUUUUGGUCUUUUUGCCUUUUCUAGGGCCGCUGCCACGGCAUAUGGAGGUUCCACGGCUAGGGGUCUAAUUGGAGCUGUAGCUGCCGGCCUACACCACAGCCACAGCCACACAGGAUCCGAGCCGUGUCUGCGGCUCACGGCAAUGCCAGAUCCUCAACCCACUGAGUGAGGCCAGGAAUCGAACCCACAACCUCAUGGUUCCUAGUCGGACUCAUUAACCACUGAGCCACGACGGGAACUCCAAAGCUGGGAUUCAAAUGGAAGCAGUCUAGUUCUGGCAUCCUUGUUUGUCAUCACGUUGCUGUACCCGUCCCCCCAGUUCACAGAAUUGCAUUCCUGAAAACCCCAAUGCAUACUAAAACUGGGCUAAAAAUUCCCUGUAUGUUUAUAUAUAGAAAUAAUUAUAAUUUUAAACUAGACUCAGAAUUCUAAACUGGCUUUCCAUCUACAUGAAUAGUUGGCAGGGCUGUUGAAAGCUGUGCUGGCAGGGGACCAUUCUUCACCGGGAGAGUCUAACCUGGAUGCUGGGGGAGCAUCCCUGCUACACCCGAGGAAUGGAGGUAGUGGCUCUCCCACCAUUGGUACCUCAGAAGCCCUCACAUUUCCAAGAGUGCCUGUGGGGGCCAGGACCAUCCCUUUGAGAACCAGUGAUUGACAAGAAAUCCUGUUUCUGAGAGUCCUCACGGUGCCUCAGCGGUAACAAACCUGACUAGUAUCCUUGAGGAUGUGGGUUUGAACCCUGGCCCCCACUCAGUGGGUUAAGGAUCUGGCAUUGCCAUGAACUGUGGUGUAGGUUGCAGGCACGGCUCGGAUCCUGUAUUGCUGUGGCUGUGGUGUAGGCCAGCAGCUGCAGCCCUUAGCCUGGGAACUUCCAUAUGCCGAGGGUGUGGUCCUAAAAUCAACAACAACAAAAAUCCUGAUUCAUCGAGUGUCAGUCUUCACGUUAUAUAUUUGUCCAUUUUUCUGUCUCUGCUUCUCUCUCCUUGGUUGUCGCUUCACCAAACCAGGAGUUUUAGCAUCUGUUCUCUGGGGGUUGUAUCUGUUUUUGUUUUUUCCAUCUGAAAGUCAAACCGUUGUUACCUCCCCUGGCCCGAACCAUCAGUGUUCCCAAGUGUCAGUUUAUUGGCCCUCAGAAAACUCUAAGAGGUAUUUGCACUUAAUUGUUCACUCACCAAAGAGCAGGCGUAGGUCAGUCUCUUUGACACUAGCGUCUGUUGCUUUUUGCCACUGUUCGCACACGCGGGAUGGCCAUGCAGACCUGAUGUGGAUAUUUCCGCCUAUCGAAUCUGUGGUUACAGGGAAGUGGUUCAGCUUUUGCUCCUAUUCUUGUGAACAGAACCACUGCAUCAUUUCUUUUGGGGGGAGACUUCUGCCAGCCCCUUCCUUGGAGAUGAUAUGGACAGUGGGCCCCUUGAGAAGGAAAAUACUGCUUUUGCUAUGGCCCCCUUGGGGUUAGUCAAUGACAUUUGAUUUAUUCACCUUUGAGGUUACCCUGCUGGUGUAUUUUUAAAAUAUGUUCAUGCUAAUCAUGCAGAAGGUGAGUAUUUAAAAAUCAAUUGAUUUUUAUUUUUUCCAUUAUAAUUGAUUCACAGUGUUCUGUCAAUUUCCACUGUAUAGCCAAGUGACCCAGUCAUACAUAUAAAAUAAAAAUCAUAAAAAAAUAUAAUGAGAAAAAGAAAUCAAUUGAGGGAGUUCCUGUUGUGGUGUAGCCGAAAUGAAUCCGACUAGUAUCCAUGAGGAUGUGGGUUUGUUCUGCCCUUGCUCAGUGGGUCAGGGAUCCGGCGUUGCCAUGAGCUGUGGUGUAGGUUGCAGACGUGUCUUGGAUCCGAGUUGCUGUGGCUGUGGCGUAGGAGGGCAGCUGUAGCUCCGAUUCGUCCCCUAGCUUGGGCACUUCCAUAUGCUGUGGGUGCGGCCCUAAAAAGAAAAAAAAAAUCAAUUGAUUAAAACCUGGCUUAAAGAAAAGCUGAACUUUCUGAUGUGUCUUCAAAUAUAUGGAAGGCCUGGAAUGAUGAAUCAGGCCCAGCAGGACCAUGGUUGCUGAUACAAGACUUAAAAAAUAGAUUUUAUAAAUGAUAGGACAUGGGAUUAGAAAAAGCAUUAAUCUUAUUGCAAAAAUUACCUUAUAAUUUUCUGGAAAUUCUCAAAUGCUAAGUGUUGCCUUAGGGGUUUUAUUUAUUUGUGGCCAGAAUGAUUACUAGAAGUGUGCUGGCUUAACAAAGGUUUUAUAAGUAAAGGAAAAAGUGAUUACAUCAAAUUCGGAUUUACCAGAGGGUCAUGUUUUUCUCUAGUUUUAGGUAUAUGAGGCUUGUCCCAAAUGCUGUGUGUGUGUGUGUGUAGAAGAUAAUUUUUUCUUUCAAGAGAAUUUUUCUACUACGAAAAGUCCUUUUGAAAUAAUAGCCUAAGACUAUGAUUUUGCACAGAGGAGAGGUAAUAUUUUGUCUGUAACCAACAAAAUAACAUCGCUCCACCAACAGGCUGUCACACACGGUAUUUCAGAACCUUUGGGGCUCCCGUUACACAGACAGGCACAUGCUGUUGGGUUUUAUUUUGUUUCUUUUGCUGCUUAGGGCCGUACCUGCGGCACGUGGAAGUUCCUAGGCUAGGGGUCCAAUCAGAGCUGCAGCUGCCGGCCUACACCACAGCCACAGCAACACCGGAUCCUUAACCCUCUAAGUGAGGCCAGGGAUCCUUAACCCACUGAGUGAAGCUGCGUCCUCAUGGAUACUAGUUGGUUCGUUCCUACUGGGCCACAGCAAGAACUCCAUGGUGGGUGUUGGGUUUUUAAGGACUCAAUUCUGGUUGUAACCUGCUGGACCCUGGGCCUACGCUAAAUCUCUAUGGCGAUGUUUAUGAAGCUCAUCUGAGUAGACCAUUUGCUGUUCAUCGGAUGCCAGUUGACCACAGACCUUGGGGACUCAAGCAGGUGAGGAGACAACUAAAGAAGUAGGUGUUAGUGCCUAUUCUCUUCUGGGUCCGCCUGCCCUGGAGUCACUGCUCAGAAGAAGACAGUUCCCAGCCUGAGCCUUCAUGUCACCCUUGCAGCUGAAUAUUACACAUGCUCUCCUUUACCAAGCUGCUUGUUUCUUUGACAAGUUGUGAAACUGAAGCUGUAAGAGAAAAUUGAGAAAGAGAACACAAAGGUGUUUGAAAAAGGAAAAUACCCAGGGAUAUGGACAUUCUCAUCAUUUUCUCUCCCCUGGCCUGGAUUCUUGCGUACACUCAAAUGUUUGUGAAGGAAUGAAGGGAAGGAGAGAAAACAUCAGGGGAAAAAUAUCACUUAUUCUUUAUUCUUCCUUUAACCCACGGAGCAAGGCCAGGGACCCAACCUGAUCCUCAGGAUUGUCAGGUUCUGAACCCACUGAGCCACAAUGGAAACUCUGUUUUGUGGCAUUAAGAAAAAAAAAAUUCAUUUAACUUUAGGGUGACAAAGACUGGAUUUUAAGAUAGUCCUUCAACAUUUGGGCAUAGCUUAGUAUGAACCUUUUGACUGAUCUUAGAGAAACAAGAAAGACUGGAAAAAUGAAGUUUAAUAUAAAGUAAUAUUGGGCAGAAAGUAAGAAAUUGUCCUUUUCGUUUUGUGGGUAUGGGAUUCUGUUUUCUUACUCUUGUAUACCUCUGUCACUGCAGCUGAGGCUGUGCCAGGAUGAGAAUGGAGGGGUCUCAGGAAUGGGUACUAAUUUAGGAGUCUUUGACCUUGGCACAUUGGCAUCCGGUAACUAGAAGCACUAGUUGAAACAAGUUACGUAUCUCUCUGCUCCCCAGUUAUCUAUGUAGAGGGGAUAAUAACAGACUCUAUUCAUAGGCUUAUGGGGAUUAAAUGAGAUAAUGUUGGGGAAGCCUGUAGAAUAGCCCAGCACCCCGCCCCCCCAAGUUAGGAGAUGUUGACUCUUGUUGGAACACUGUAGUAGCAGGGUUUACUCCAUCGUAACCUCUAGAAAGAAGGCAGUCAGAGCUGGUAAACUGGGAAUUGCUCUUUCUUCUGUCCAUAGCCAGUAAAAUAGUGCCAUUGUCACACUGUCGGAAAGCUGCUGUGUAGUCCGUGGCCAGGAAAUGUGGUUUUUCCUGGGACAAAUCUCAGUCUCUUCUAAUUUUUGGCUGAGUCAGAACUCAAGAAGCGAUAAGUUCUCUGAUUGGACACAGUCGGGAUAAGAGAGUAGCAUUGAUUUGAUUUAUCAUCCACAUAUCUUUCCUCUUUAAUCCCCCCCCCCACUUUCUUCAACAGAGCGGUGUGGGAAAACAAAGGAAAUCUGAGCAUUUCCCCAUCUCCUAAUAGGCUGAAUGAUGUUUGCCUCCCAUGCCUGGUUUGAACGGUACCCCACAUUUAUUUGUGUUUCAUAUGAUUAGAAAGGAAAAGAAUCAUGUUGAAUGGUUUCUAUGUUGGAAAUUCUCAUGGGAAGGAACUCUUACAUAAACGUAAAGCUAAUAGAUUGUGUCGCCCUUUCCGACAACGCUGAAAGGACUGUCUUCAGAUGCUCGAUCAAAGCCUUGAUGGGUCCAGGGAGAAAAAGGGGAACAAAUUCUAUGAGAGGGACAAAUGGUUGUCCGGUUUGGCUUUCAUUUGGUUGACUGAGUUCUGCCUGACUUUCAACUAUCUAGACACUGGCAGUGUAUCAGCAGACCGAGCACACAGAUCAAGACAUGCCUCUAAGCCCCAUCUCUGCUUGAGCUCUUGUAUUUGUCUCUCUCAUCUGUUAAGCAGAAUCAUGUGAGUUUGUGAGUAUUCAGCCAUAUGAAAAUAAAAACCUACAUUGUCAUAG
rnacentral:lncRNA from 1 species